rnacentral:rRNA from 1 species
AGUGAACGUUGGCGGCGUGGAUUAGGCAUGCAAGUCGAGCGAGAACCGUAGCAAUACGGGGACAGCGGCGAAAGGGACAGUAAUGUGUAGGUACCUACCUCCGGGUUCGGGAUAGCUGCGGGAAACUGCAGGUAAUACCGAAUAACGUCUCCGGACCAAAGGUGUGAUUCCACCUGGAGAGGGGCCUGCAUCCUAUUAGCUUGUUGGCGGGGUAACGGCCCACCAAGGCGACGAUGGGUAGCGGGUGUGAGAGCACGACCCGCGUCAUUGGGACUGAGACACUGCCCCGACACCUCCGGGUGGCUGCAGUCGUGAAUCUGCGGCAAUGGGCGAAAGCCUGACCGAGCGACGCCGCGUGCGGGAUGAAGGCCUUCGGGUUGUAAACCGCUGUCGUAGAGGAGGAAAUGCAGGGGGGUUCUCCCCUCUGUUUGACCUAUUCUAGGAGGAAGUACGGGCUAAGUUCGUGCCAGCCGCCGCCGUAA